CCCGGGCUGAGCACGUGCCGGUUUGGGCGAGAGGCGGGUGUCGUGUCCCCAGAGGACGGCAAGGCUGCCUCCGGUGGCCGCGUCUUUGUCUCCGAGAACGGGCCGGCCCCUUGCACGCCCUGGCCUCGGUGUCCACACAGCGCAGCGCAGGUUGCCCAGGGUGUUGCAGCUCGUUCACCGGCUUAAAAGCUGCUCCUUGUGUUCCCGAAUGGGCCGGCCGAGGUGACCCAGCUGUGAGCCUGUGCUUGCUUCAAGUGUUCCAGCAAGACAGACAGACAGUGAACAAAAUAGUUGCACGUAAUUGUUUACUCGCAUCUGUGGUCAGUGCUGGCAAAGGGAGUAGAGUGGGCAGGGGCCGCUUCCUCGGCCUCGGGCCCACCCGGGGAGGCUGCAGAACCGCCUCGUCUCUGUAAGGACCCGGUAGUUUCUGUGCUGUUGAGACGUCCUCUUGGUACGACCCGGAGAACGACUUCGCGAAGCUCGGAGGCUCGCUGACCAGGCUACAGCAGGUUUUCAAGCCGGCUUUGAGGAAGGUAGAGGAAAUCUUUGUGUCUCAAUCCCCAACUCCAGGGCCUCGGGGGGCUCUGAAAGCACCAUGACAGAAAAGCGGUGCAGUGGGACACGAGACAGAUUUCACAAGGCUCUUGGCUUUUUUCUUCCAAGAAAUGUUGUGCUUCCUUGUCUCCCAGUUUCUGUUGCUUCCUUGUCACAUCAAAGGGAACAGCAGCUGCUUUUUUUUUGGUACCGGGGAUUGAACCAGGGGUGUCUAACCCUGGGCAGCAUCCCCAGCCCUUUUUUAUAUUUCACUGGAGACAGAGUCUUCCUGAGUUGUUCAGGGCUAAGUUGCUGAGGCUGGC
rnacentral:lncRNA from 1 species